CCGUUCUUUAGUCGGUACUCUACAUCCUUCCAGCGCUCCCAUUUUUUUGCGGUGGAAUUGCAGAUUAGUAACCACCGCUCAUCUUCCACUUUGCGUUUCAGAUGCCCACCAUUUUUCUCUUCGAAAGCCUUAGUCGAUGGGUGCUAGGGUUCGAUUUAGGUAUUGGACUUAAUCAGGCUUCCAUUGAUGUCGACGAUGUCGGUGGGUCGGUGUGUAUGCUUGGCUCGAUUCUUCCAAAACCCACUGCUUCCAUAAUAACCCAAUGAACCCUACCUCUGCAAUCAAUUCAACGUAAUAUUACCUCCUUCACCAUGCUUUGUUGAUUUCAAUUUUCGGAUUAAUGGAUUCAGGAUACUGCUGUUGUUUAGAGCCAACUUCGGGCGGAGGUUACAAGAGGUUCAUAGAACACGUUACCAAUGUUUUCUUGGAAAUUGUUUGUUCAGUAUGAUAUUCAUGGAUGCUUUACCACACAUUAAAGCUUGGGUUGACCUUUACAAAGUUAUAUAGUCUUCAGAUGUUGCCAUCCAGGUACUCGAUGCUAGGGAUCCCCAUGGUAGAAGAUAUCAUCGUCUUAAAAAGCAUUGCAAACAAGAAAUCUCUUCAAUGAUUUCAAUGUUUAGCUGAGUGAUAUCCUGCAAAUGCAAUUAUGGUAAAUUAAAUCUUCAUGGUUCAUUUUUCCUAUAAUUAUUGAAUAUGAAAAUCUUUCACCGUUUUCUGUGACAAAAACAUUUGAUAGUCUCGGUUUAGACAUUCAACAGACUGUUGUCGGUUGUUUCAAUGGCUUUGCGGUUGAUUUUUUCAAAGCUAAGAUCACAUGUUUUAUUGAGGUGAAAUAAGCAGGGAAGCGUCGUCUAAUCAAUGGAAGAUGUAACUAAUCACAAGAUUUGUUUCUCUUCAACAAUGGAAGUGCUUCGAAUAACAGUUUAAUUGACAUUUUUUGAACUUUUAUGUUUUAAGUUUUAGUCUUUUUAGAGCUUAUUAUCAUUUGUUUUUCCAAGGAUAGAGAGGAGAAGAAUCAAGGCUAAACUAAUUGAACCAUAUGUGCUUUUGGAUGAAUUCGGUUAUCCUAAAUGCCAUGCUGCUUAUAAGUUAUAAGGAAUUUGUGGAAGCACUGUUGGCAUAUCAGCAGAAGCUUAACAUGUUAAAAAUAGAGAGUUCUUUAAAAUUUGAUCGAGAUUUGGAAGCAGUGUACGUUGGCAUAUCAGAGAAAGGAAACUGAGGCAAGUAUAAAAAGGCAUAUUAGCCAAGUUGAUUUCAGAUAGGUCUAUAUUCAUGUAAGUGUUUCCUUUCCUUGGUUUCUACAAGACCUUGCUAGAGAAAGAAAUGUGAUCCCAUUAGAGAAACAUGGAUACCUAUAGGAACUUUGUAUACUGAUUCCUUUCUCUAAUAAUCUAUUUUUGAUGCUGAAUGUUACCAAACAACUAUGUGCCCCAAACACAGAAAAAAAUAAAGAUACAUAAAGUUGUCGUUA